CAAGUCGAGCGGUAGAGAGAAGCUUGCUUCUCUUGAGAGCGGCGGACGGGUGAGUAAUGCCUAGGAAUCUGCCUGGUAGUGGGGGAUAACGCUCGGAAACGGACGCUAAUACCGCAUACGUCCUACGGGAGAAAGCAGGGGACCUUCGGGCCUUGCGCUAUCAGAUGAGCCUAGGUCGGAUUAGCUAGUUGGUGAGGUAAUGGCUCACCAAGGCGACGAUCCGUAACUGGUCUGAGAGGAUGAUCAGUCACACUGGAACUGAGACACGGUCCAGACUCCUACGGGAGGCAGCAGUGGGGAAUAUUGGACAAUGGGCGAAAGCCUGAUCCAGCCAUGCCGCGUGUGUGAAGAAGGUCUUCGGAUUGUAAAGCACUUUAAGUUGGGAGGAAGGGUUGUAACCUAAUACGUUGCAAUCUUGACGUUACCGACAGAAUAAGCACCGGCUAACUCUGUGCCAGCAGCCGCGGUAAUACAGAGGGUGCAAGCGUUAAUCGGAAUUACUGGGCGUAAAGCGCGCGUAGGUGGUUCGUUAAGUUGGAUGUGAAAUCCCCGGGCUCAACCUGGGAGCUGCAUUCAAAACUGACGAGCUAGAGUAUGGUAGAGGGUGGUGGAAUUUCCUGUGUAGCGGUGAAAUGCGUAGAUAUAGGAAGGAACACCAGUGGCGAAGGCGACCACCUGGACUG
rnacentral:rRNA from 1 species